rnacentral:rRNA from 1 species
GAUGAACGCUGGCGGCGUGCCUAAUACAAGCAAGUCGAGCGAACAGACGAGGAGCUUGCUCCUCUGACGUUAGCGGCGGACGGGUGAGUAACACGUGGAUAACCUACCUAUAAGACUGGGAUAACUUCGGGAAACCGGAGCUAAUACCGGAUAAUAUAUUGAACCGCAUGGUUCAAUAGUGAAAGACGGUUUUGCUGUCACUUAUAGAUGGAUCCGCGCCGCAUUAGCUAGUUGGUAAGGUAACGGCUUACCAAGGCAACGAUGCGUAGCCGACCUGAGAGGGUGAUCGGCCACACUGGAACUGAGACACGGUCCAGACUCCUACGGGAGGCAGCAGUAGGGAAUCUUCCGCAAUGGGCGAAAGCCUGACGGAGCAACGCCGCGUGAGUGAUGAAGGUCUUCGGAUCGUAAAACUCUGUUAUUAGGGAAGAACAAAUGCGUAAGUAACUAUGCACGUCUUGACGGUACCUAAUCAGAAAGCCACGGCUAACUACGUG